AACGAACGCUGGCGGCGUGGAUAAGACAUGCAAGUCGAACGGGUUUUCAUUUGUAGCAAUACAGGUGGGAAUCAGUGGCGCAAGGGUGCGUAACACGUGGGCAACCUGCCCUGGAGACUGGGAUAGCCCGCCGAAAGGCGGAUUAAUACCGGAUGCGGCUACCAAAGGACUCUUUGGGACGCUAAAGGUGGCGCAAGCUACCGCUCUUGGAUGGGCCCGCGGCCUAUCAGCUAGUUGGUGAGGUUACGGCUCACCAAGGCGAUGACGGGUAGCUGGUCUGAGAGGACGACCAGCCACACUGGAACUGAGACACGGUCCAGACACCUAC
rnacentral:rRNA from 1 species